rnacentral:other from 1 species
UUGUCCCUGCGGUGUGCGUUAGCGGCUAAAAAAAGCGAACCAAUUAAAGUGAACGGGAUGCCAAGCUUCCUGAAUAUCUGAGGAUAUUCGGGGGAGGUUCCCACUUGUGAAAAAGGUUCACUGACUGUAAGCCCGACGGCAUAGCGGGGACUUU